GUCCCCAUGAUGGUUGCUAGGGCCGUUGCUAGGUUACCCAGGGUGGUUGCUAGGGUAAUCGGGGUGGUUGCUAGGGUACCCGGGGUGGUUGCUAGGGCGGUUGCUAGGGUCCCCAUGAUGGUUGCUAGGGCCGUUGCUAGGGUACCCAGGGUGGUUGCUAGGGUAAUUGGGGCGGUUGCUAGGGUGUUGCUAUGUGGUUGCUAGGGUACCCAGGGUGGUUGCUAGGGCGGUUGCUAGGGUCCCCAUGAUGGUUGCUAGGGCCGUUGCUAAGGUACCCAGGGUGGUUGCUAGGGUAAUUGGGGCGGUUGCUAGGGUGUUGCUAUGUGGUUGCUAGGGUACCCGGGGUGGUUGCUAGGGCGGUUGCUAGGGUCCCUAUGAUGGUUGCUAGGGCCGUUGCUAGGGUACCCAGGGUGGUUGCUAGGGUAAUCGGGGCGGUUGCUAGGGUGUUGCUAUGCGGUUGCUAGGGUACCCGGGGUGGUUGCUAGGCAGUUGCUAUGGUAACCAGGGUGGUUGUUAUGAUGUUACUUGGUGGUUGGUAGUUGUCACAGAUGGUCACUAUGUAGUUAUUAUAGAGUUCUUAGCCCAUUUGAGCACUUAGCUAAUCACUAUUAGCAUGUAGCUAAUCACUGCUAGCAUGACUAGCAUGUUGGAAGUCCAGUUUGCUAGCACGAGUCAAAAAAUCCAACCGCCAUGUCUGUACAAUGUUCUGAUGCAGAGAUAUAGGUCGUGCAAAACGGUUGCUAGGGUAAUCCGUUUGGUUGCUAUGGAAUGGCUUGGCAGCUGCCAAUGAUGAUACUCCAAAGGCUACUUGCCAAUUUAAACCAACCCCCAUGUCUGUACAAUGUUCUGAUACAGAGAUAUUGGCCUUGAAAAAUGGUUGCUAGGGUACUCUGGUUGGUUGCUAGGGAGUGGCCUUGCAGCUGCCAAUGAUGAUACUUCAAAGUCUGCUUGACAAUAUAAACCAACCCCCAUGCUUCUAUGUCUUUCAGAUGUUAAGAUAUCUAUCUUUGGAUUUAGGUUGCUAGGUAGCUCUUAAUGGUUGCUAGGGCGUGGCUAGGAAGUCUUGAAGGUGAUACGUGAUUGGCCGUUUGCUGCUCGAGUCAAAGGAGCCCACCCUCAUAUUUCUAUGACACUUCUAUCCAAAGUUAUUCAUUUGAUCUUUUUCAAUGGAAGUCUAUGGGGCUUGUUGCUAUGGUGCUCUAUAUGGUUGCUAGGGCGUGGCUUGAUAGCUUCAUAAUGAUCCUGAGAGUCUGAUUGGUUGCUUGAUUCAAAU